rnacentral:rRNA from 1 species
GGUCAAGCGAACAAGUGCAUGUGGUGGAUGCCUUGGCGAUCACAGGCGAUGAAGGACGCGGUAGCCUGCGAAAAGCGGUGGGGAGCUGGCAAACAAGCUUUGAUCCACCGAUAUCCGAAUGGGGAAACCCACUCCGUAUGGAGUAUCCAUGACUGAAUACAUAGGUCAUGUGAAGCGAACGCGGCGAACUGAAACAUCUAAGUAGCCGCAGGAAAAGAAAUCAACCGAGAUUCCCAAAGUAGUGGCGAGCGAAAUGGGAUCAGCCUGUACUCUUUAUCUUCGUUGUUAGCCAAACGCUCUGGAAAGUGCGGCCAUAGUGGGUGAUAGCCCCGUAGGCGAAAACAGCGAGGAAGAACUAGGUGUACGACAAGUAGGGCGGGACACGUGAAAUCCUGUCUGAAGAUGGGGGGACCAUCCUCCAAGGCUAAAUACUCGUGAUCGACCGAUAGUGAACCAGUACCGUGAGGGAAAGGCGAAAAGAACCCCGGGAGGGGAGUGAAAUAGAUCCUGAAACCGCAUGCAUACAAACAGUCGGAGCCUCGCAAGGGGUGACGGCGUACCUUUUGUAUAAUGGGUCAGCGACUUACAUUCAGUGGCAAGCUUAACCGAAUAGGGCAGGCGUAGCGAAAGCGAGUCCGAACAGGGCGUUCAGUCGCUGGGUGUAGACCCGAAACCAGGUGAUCUAUCCAUGGCCAGGUUGAAGGCACGGUAACACGUGCUGGAGGACCGAACCCACUAACGUUGAAAAGUUAGGGGAUGAGCUGUGGAUAGGGGUGAAAGGCUAAACAAACCUGGAAAUAGCUGGUUCUCUCCGAAAACUAUUUAGGUAGUGCCUCGUGUAUCACCUUCGGGGGUAGAGCACUGUCAUGGUUGAUGGGUCCAUUGCGGAUUACGUCGCCAUAGCAAACUCCGAAUACCGAAGAGUGCAAUCACGGGAGACAGACAUCGGGUGCUAACGUCCGGUGUCAAGAGGGAAACAACCCAGACCGCCAGCUAAGGUCCCCAAAUAUGGCUAAGUGGGAAACGAAGUGGGAAGGCUAAAACAGUCAGGAGGUUGGCUUAGAAGCAGCCACCCUUUAAAGAAAGCGUAAUAGCUCACUGAUCGAGUCGUCCUGCGCGGAAGAUGUAACGGGGCUAAGCCAUAUACCGAAGCUGCGGAUGCACAUUUAUGUGCAUGGUAGGAGAGCGUUCUGUAAGCCUGCGAAGGUGCGUUGAAAAGCGUGCUGGAGGUAUCAGAAGUGCGAAUGCUGACAUGAGUAGCGAUAAAGGGGGUGAAAGGCCCCCUCGCCGUAAGCCCAAGGUUUCCUACGCAACGUUCAUCGGCGUAGGGUGAGUCGGCCCCUAAGGCGAGGCAGAAAUGCGUAGCUGAUGGGAAGCAGGUCAAUAUUCCUGCACCAUUGUUGAAUGCGAUGGGGGGACGGAUCGCGGAAGGUUGUCCGGGUGUUGGAAGUCCCGGUCCUUGCAUUGGAGAAGGCGCUUUGGCAAAUCCGGGCGCGGAAUUCAAGGGUGCGAGGCCAUGCUCUUCGGAGCAGAAGCAACUGGAAGUGGUUCCAAGAAAAGCCUCUAAGCUUCAGUUCAACAGUGACCGUACCGCAAACCGACACAGGUGGGCGAGAUGAGUAUUCUAAGGCGCUUGAGAGAACUCGGGAGAAGGAACUCGGCAAAUUGGUACCGUAACUUCGGGAUAAGGUACGCCCUUGUAGCUUGACUGGCCUGCGCCAGGAGGGUGAAGGGGUUGCAAUAAACUGGUGGCUGCGACUGUUUAAUAAAAACACAGCACUCUGCAAACACGAAAGUGGACGUAUAGGGUGUGACGCCUGCCCGGUGCCGGAAGAUUAAAUGAUGGGGUGCAAGCUCUUGAUUGAAGUCCCGGUAAAACGGCGGCCGUAACUAUAACGGUCCUAAGGUAGCGAAAUUCCUUGUCGGGUAAGUUCCGACCUGCACGAAUGGCGUAACGAUGGCCACACUGUCUCCUCCCGAGACUCAGCGAAGUUGAAGUGUUUGUGAUGAUGCAAUCUCCCCGCGGCUAGACGGAAAGACCCCAUGAACCUUUACUGUAGCUUUGCAUUGGACUUUGAACCGGUUUGUGUAGGAUAGGUGGGAGGCUGUGAAGUGUGGACGCUAGUCUGCAUGGAGCCGUCCUUGAAAUACCACCCUGAUCUGUUUGAGGUUCUAACCUUGGUCCGUAAUCCGGAUCGGGGACAGUGCAUGGUAGGCAGUUUGACUGGGGCGGUCUCCUCCCAAAGGGUAACGGAGGAGUACGAAGGUACGCUAGGUACGGUCGGAAAUCGUGCUGAUAGUGCAAUGGCAUAAGCGUGCUUGACUGCGAGACUGACAAGUCGAGCAGGUGCGAAAGCAGGUCAUAGUGAUCCGGUGGUUCUGUAUGGAAGGGCCAUCGCUCAACGGAUAAAAGGUACUCUGGGGAUAACAGGCUGAUACCGCCCAAGAGUUCAUAUCGACGGCGGUGUUUGGCACCUCGAUGUCGGCUCAUCUCAUCCUGGGGCUGUAGCCGGUCCCAAGGGUAUGGCUGUUCGCCAUUUAAAGAGGUACGUGAGCUGGGUUUAAAACGUCGUGAGACAGUUUGGUCCCUAUCUGCCGUGGGCGCUGGAUAUUUGAAGGGACCUGCUCCUAGUACGAGAGGACCGGAGUGGACGAACCUCUGGUGUACCGGUUGUCACGCCAGUGGCAUCGCCGGGUAGCUAUGUUCGGAAGAGAUAACCGCUGAAAGCAUCUAAGCGGGAAACUCGCCUUGAGAUGAGAUAUCCCCGGGGCUUCGAGCCCCUUGAAGGGUCGUUCAAGACCAGGACGUUGAUAGGUCAGGUGUGGAAGCGCAGUAAUGCGUUAAGCUAACUGAUACUAAUUGCCCGUAAGGCUUGAUCCU